rnacentral:rRNA from 1 species
UACGUAGGGUGCAAGCGUUAAUCGGAAUUACUGGGCGUAAAGCGUGCGCAGGCGGUUAUGUAAGACAGAUGUGAAAUGCCCGGGCUUAACCUGGGAACUGCAUUUGUGACUGCAUGGCUAGAGUUUGGCAGAGGGGGGGUAGAAUUCCACGUGUAGCAGUGAAAUGCGUAGAGAUGUGGAGAACACCGAUGGCGAAGGCAGCCCCCUGGGUCAAAACUGACGCUCAUGCACGAAAGCGUGGGGAGCAAACAGG